rnacentral:lncRNA from 1 species
GCGGGGCGGGCGGCGCCGGGCGCGUGCGUGCCGGGCGGGCGGCGCUGGGUGCGUGUGUGGUGUGUGUGCGGGUGAGUGCGUGUGUGGCGUGUGUGUUGUGUUUUCUUUUUUUUUUGAGUGAAAUGCAGAUCAUAUGUGGAGAUGUUGGGUUUCCGAACGUCCGACGUGCAAACUUGCUCCAAAUUUUUUCAAAUUUUUAUCAUAGCCUUCCCAUACCAUAUCAAGGACGGUGGACAAGUUUCGUGGUUUUCCGUGUUCAUUUGAUUUUUUUAUAAUUAAAAAACCCCGCGCACGCAAGUUGGAAGCGUUGCCCCGCGAGCACGCUCAUCGACAUUUGGUGCCAGGACAUGGAUUUGACCUAAUUGCAUCCACACAAGCAAGAAUAGCAACGUUGUAACCAUAAGACACUAUUAUUCCAUGCACCUGCAGUUCAAAUCGAAUUCGUCGGAAAAAAUGGAACGAGUCGCAACUAAAUGAAAAAAUAUAGAAAAAAAACUUCAAAAUGCACCAAACGUUGACAAGUUACUAAAUAUAUGGUACUAAACCUCCACAAAAAAUUUGGGAGCAAAACUCAAAAAGAAAAAUUUUGACUUCGCCAAGUGCUAGGGUUGGCACUUGGCGAAGAGGUCUUCGCC